rnacentral:lncRNA from 1 species
AGGGGCGGAUUUACGUCUAUGUGAGGGUGUGUAGCUGCACACCCUGAACUUCUGAAAAUUACACAUAUAAUCCUAUUUUUUUUGCAAUUUGCACCCCUUGAGAUUUGAUUAUGCACCCCUACCCAAGAGACCAAGAGAAGAAAAGAAGAUCAUCUGCACUCACAAAGAUGCAAGCAAAGUAGAAAACGAAAGAAGACGAAGAGGAACAGAGUUGUAUAAAAAAUGAAAAAGAAAAAAGUAGUAGAAGAAGAAGAACAGAGUGCAACAGCAGCCACAAACAACUUUUUCUAUAAAGAUGGUAUGUUUAGGGUUUCCUACCCAUUUGUCAUGGGCUUUUUCUUACACGGCCUCAUUCUAAUUACGGCAUGUAUAGUUAUAAACAAUUUUUUUUACAAGGUUAUAAACAAUGUCAUAUGUAUCUACAAAAUAAAAAUAAAAAUAAUGUCAACCGUUUGAAUUGACUUAUUUUUAAGUUUAUGAAAAACAACUUAGGUAAAAUAAGUAAACUUUCAUGUAUUAUUCAUAAGAUUGUCGGUAUAGGGUUCGUUUUAUUUUUGAGUUUAUGCAAAAUAGUUUAUACAAAUAAAUAAGAUUUUUAUAUAUUAUUCAUAAGCUAGUCAAAGUAGUUUAUAAAACUACAAUUUUCUUUAGUGAGAACAUAAGAAAAAAAUUCAAAUCGCAUGUGAACAAUUGUAAAAUAGUCAUUAUUAUCAACGUUAUUAAUAAUAAUUUUUUCUUUCUCAAUUUUUAUUUAAAUAAUAAAUUUUCAAAAAAAAUUAUUAGUAGACUAAACUGUCUGCACCCCCUGGUCCAGGGUCCUGGAUCCG